UUCAAGUCUAGUAGUUCAAAGGCAGUUGGAG
rnacentral:piRNA from 1 species